GGAGAAGCAAGACUCCUGGUGUGUAGGCAUCCAGGGCAAAAAGAAGAGCACCGGCCUGGAAAGACACCCAGCUGGAAAAGUUUCUUGACAUGAAAACUUAGAUCGUUUACUUCAGCCUUUCUUUUGUAAUGUGUGAAUUUAAGGUAAUGUAUCUCUUUUAAGUACUACUUUACCUGUACACCACAGGUUUUGAUAUGGCAUAUCUUCAUUAUCAUGCAAUUAAAAUUAUCUAAUUUCCUUUGUAAUUCUUCUGUAAUCCAGGGGUUAUUUAGAAUUGUACUGCCUGUUUUGUAAAUCGCUAGAGAGAGACUUUCCAUUUUUUUCCGCUAGCUUAAUCCCAUGUGUUUGGUUCAGAGAAUAUCUUUUUUUUUUUUAAAUUUUUUGAGGCUCACUUGAUGGUGCAGCUAUGAUCAAUUUUGGUAAAAUGCUUCCAGUGUAAUCAAAAGGAGUAUGUAUACUAUUGGUUUAGAGGACAGUGUUCUAUAUGUCAAUUAAGCUAGGUGUGUUGUUCAACUUAUGCUAUAUCUGCUUCUGAAAUAAAUGUACUAAAAUAUUUUUUAAAAUUAAAUUCUACAAUAUUCAGGAAAAAAAUCUCAUUCCAUUGUGCGAUUUCCUAUUCCAGAGGUCCUUCUUGGGCUUUUGAUAGCAGUGGCUUUCUAUUAACCCCCUUUCCCAGCCACUGAGCAGCAGGAAUAGUGAGCAAGGGACUCACAUAUAUGGAUAUUAAGGAAGGCAUGCUCUGAAGGCUCCUACUGCCUGUCCUUGCCCUGUUCCACCACUGAAACAGUCAGAGGCCCUCUCAAGUCUUGGAAGAAAGAAGCUGGAAGCAGAGGUUGGUUCUAUCCCACUGAGAGCCAGGAACAGGAAUGGAAGCAACUCUGGAGAUGUGCUCUAAGUCUCGAAUCUUAGAAGGAAAUUAAUAUUAAAGUCUGUGAUAAAAUGUUUCAAGUGUUACCUCUUUACUUAUAGAAGUCUCUCCCACACUAGUACUAAGCUCUGGCCACUACUGCCAGGAGUGAGGUUCUAUUCCAGCAAGAGACUUUAUCAGAUAGAGGGCACCGUCUCAGUCUCCCAAACAGCUUUUAUAAUCAGCAAGAUUCUCCCAAAGGACCUAUCCACAAAGGAACCAUCACUGCCCUCUUGGCAGGGUAGGGUGUUUGUUGUGCAGGUGGAUAGAGAACAGAGGCAGGGGUGACGGGGAUCACCUGACCAAAGUGCCUAGAUAUCUCUAUAGUGACAAAUAAAAUCUCCAGUCUAAAGGAAAAGUUAUUUUUAUAAAAACAGAAGCAUGUUUUAUUUCAAUUCUGUUGAGGGAGUGAGAGGGAUGGAAAACACAAAAUGAGGGGGGAGUCUCUUUAUGCACACAUGAUGUCAGGGUCAACUACAAGAACAACUCCCAUUUCCAUCCCUCCCCCAGCUGAGUAGAUGGAGCAAGAACUGAGACACUAUUGGCACAGUAACAUGGCCAAUGCACCAGAAGAUGGAGAAAAAGAACUUCCCAGGGAGCAAGGUCCUGGGCCUCAGCUGCUUCCCCAGUGGAGGGGGAAUGAGAAAACUUUGGCUCAGCAGGAAGGCGGGUGGCAAAAAUCAGGGUUACUAGCUGGACUCUCCAGAUACAAACUGUGGGCUAAAGGGAGUCAAGACGUCUAUCCAGUCCAUGCUGUUUCUCCAAUACCUCUUCUCUUCAGGCUUGAGAUUACUGAGAGCUGGCCUGGCUCUCCUCUUCAUUUUGGAAGGCAGGGGAAUAAGUGCUUAUCCUACCCUUCCUACAUCGAGGCUAUUUAAUUACUACUGUCUUGGCUCCAAUGAGACAGAAGCCAACUAACGAGGCCGGCUCCCUUUAUGAAAGUCGGCUUGUAAGAGCCCUUGUAUUGGCAAAACUGCCUCUGCAAAGGUUUCUGAGCUUGCCCCUUACAGAUCCUCCCCAAACUUGUUCAGAGACACCUCCAAUUGUAUGAGAUAUGGACAGAAAAUACUUGGUCUCUCUCUCUAGAGUUGGACUAACAAUCCCUUCUUCGAUUGGAGAUGGGGAUAAGAGAGAGAGCAGGUGUUGGUAUAGGCAAGGAUUGGGAGAAAGCAAAGCCAUUUUACAUUGGGUUGUGAAUAGAGUCAUCUAAAGCUUCAGAGAAGGAAGGGGGAUUCUUGAACACAAUAUGAACAAGUGGCAACUCUGUAAUUCCCAUAGACCAAAAGGGAAUGUGUCAAAAACAAAACAAAACAAAAACAAAAACUG